UACGUAGGGGGCAAGCGUUGUCCGGAAUCAUUGGGCGUAAAGCGCGUGUAGGCGGCUAUGCAAGUCGGAUGUGAAAGCCCUCGGCUCAACCGGGGAAGUGCACCCGAAACUGCAAAGCUAGAGUCUCGGAGAGGAUCGUGGAAUUCUCGGUGUAGAGGUGAAAUUCGUAGAUAUCGAGAGGAACACCGGUGGCGAAGGCGGCGAUCUGGACGAUGACUGACGCUGAGACGCGAAAGCGUGGGGAGCAAACAGG
rnacentral:rRNA from 1 species